rnacentral:rRNA from 1 species
AUUGAACGCUGGCGGCAGGCCUAACACAUGCAAGUCGAGCGGAUGAAGGGAGCUUGCUCCUGGAUUCAGCGGCGGACGGGUGAGUAAUGCCUAGGAAUCUGCCUGGUAGUGGGGGAUAACGUCCGGAAACGGGCGCUAAUACCGCAUACGUCCUGAGGGAGAAAGUGGGGGAUCUUCGGACCUCACGCUAUCAGAUGAGCCUAGGUCGGAUUAGCUAGUUGGUGGGGUAAAGGCCUACCAAGGCGACGAUCCGUAACUGGUCUGAGAGGAUGAUCAGUCACACUGGAACUGAGACACGGUCCAGACUCCUACGGGAGGCAGCAGUGGGGAAUAUUGGACAAUGGGCGAAAGCCUGAUCCAGCCAUGCCGCGUGUGUGAAGAAGGUCUUCGGAUUGUAAAGCACUUUAAGUUUGGAGGAAGGGCAGUAAGUUAAUACCUUGCUGUUUUGACGUUACCAACAGAAUAAGCACCGGCUAACUUCGU